AUGAGGGAAGAUGAGGCACGAAGAGGUUAAUCUAAUGCCUACAUAAUUAAUGUAUGCGCAAUUGUUCUUCUAGGACUCAGUUCAGCCCACAGAUGUCUCCACAGCUGCUCUCUAUUCCAAAGGGGAAUUUUUUUCCUUGGAAGCAGUCAUAUUAUGAGCUGACAAUCUGGAUGAUGACAUGACUUACACAAAAUCAUACAGUCAGUCUGAGGUAAGAGUUAGAUGC